rnacentral:lncRNA from 1 species
GCGAGGACCAGAAAGAUAUCGCGCGCGGCCCCGCCCCCGCGCGCGACCCCGCCCCUUCUCGCCCCGCCCUGCCCCGCCCUUCUUCUUCUUCUCUGGUUCCUUACUGCACCGCUCAACUAGGUCAACGCAAGGUGAUCUCCGGGAGAGAGGCAGUGCUCUGAGCGCGCCACCUUUUACGUGUCGCGCCGUCGUCCCUCCUUCCCUCGCCCCGCACCCUCGCCUCGCCCUUUCGGACUGUCCGGGAACUGGUUCCCUCCAGCCGCCCUCACCUGUUCUGCCUCCCCCUGGAGGCAUAACAGUUAGAGAGAUCAGUCGUGGGAGAUUAGAUUUCUCGGCGUCAAACUUCCAUCUAGGCAACCGCCCUAGGCUGGAGCUGGCCUCUCAGUCGACCUUACCUUUGUUGGAGGGUGGUGGUGUGCGGGGGGGCAGGCGUGGAGAUUGUGAGGAACGGGAGAGGCGAGCUGAGAGAAGGGGCGAGAGGCUACAGUAACUUAGAAAAAGCAAUUGGAGGGGUCAAAGAAGGCGUAUUUGACAUUAGUGUUGCUAUAAAAACCUGUUUACUACUACUUCUCGUCCCCCGGACUUCUGUUUGGUCUGAGUGCAGCUCUCCUCUCGGAGACACUGAGUCAGUACAUUGCUGGUCUUGCCCUCUUUUGGAAAAAGAAAAUAGCCUUGAGGAUUCGUAGUCCCUAUCCAAACCUCCUGGGGCCUUUUAAACCAGGUGCCAAGCUGAAUUGUCCACCGCACCACCUUGCCCGCAGGAGGCAAGCUGUUUAGGGGAAGCAUGGCGUGUGCUGGGCGCUGACAGCGACUUCGUGUGACUCUGAAGGGCACGCUGGAAAGUUUCCUAGAUUGAAGUUUCAGUGAUGUUGCCACCAUCCAUCCAGUUCCUGAACUGCUCUGGACCUUUCCUUCACCCUACAUCCAUUAGUGAAGAAGAUUGGCCCUAAGCUAACAUCUGUUGCCAAUCUUCCUCUUUUUGCUUGAGGAAGAUUGUCCCUGAGCUAACAUCUGCACCAAUCUUCCUCUAUUUGCGUCUCCAUCACCUCCUGGCCAGCCCUCAGGAUGAAGUCCAAGUUCUCCACUAUAUGCAUGCAUGCCAAGCGGUGCCAUGUCCACACCGGGGAUCCGAACUGGUGAACCCUGGGCCGCCAAAGCGGAACGUGCGCACUUAACCCCUGUGCCACUGGGCCGGCCCCUGCUUCCUCUCCUUGAAUGCGAAGAUUAGACGUGUGCAUUUCAUUUCUGCGUUUCUAGCAUCCAGCAUAGUUUCCUCACACAGACUGAAUGAAUGAAUAAAUGGGUAAGAAAAAGUUUUAACCCCAAACCAGUGCAUUUGGGGUGUUCUUUCUUUAAUAAGAUGACUGUAUUCAGUAAAGUGUUUCAGUGCUCC